AGAUCGGAAGCCAAUCCAAUUCUUUGCCAUCACUGAGACCAAGGCCACAAGGAACCUUCUGUGCAGAGUGGCCGUGUCCUCUGGUGCAGCUGGAGACUGGACUGUGAGGAUUCCCCAGCCUUCUCCACAGUUUCCAGCUCAGUUCCCAUACAGCACAGAGCCCAGGAUGGGGAAGAGGAGGUGAAGAGAGAACCAGAAGCAGCACCAGCAGUCCCUGCCGAGACAGUCAUGGCAAACCCUCCUAGCUGUACAGGUGCCUGUGACUUCUAUCCUGAUGCGGUCUGCAGUGAGCAGUGUGACCCCACCCCAAGCCCUCAGAACCCCGGGUAAGCUUUCCAGCUGUGGGAGUUCCAGUCUAGGGGCAGGAGAGGAGGUUUUCAGUAAGCAUGACCUCCACAGCCCCUUCGGGUAAGGAAAUUCUUUGAACCUUUACAGUUUCUUACCAUGGUGUCUGUGCUCAUUGAAAUGAGGUCCUCGUGUUACACUUAUCUGCAGCAAGCUCUAAUCAAACAGCAGCUCUAAUAAGGGGCACUGCAAGCUGAUCAGGAUGUACCCUCAGUUUUCAGGCCCCUCCGGGAAAAGUAUUCUGAUUCAAAGGAGACACCGCUCACCCUUAGACAAAUCCCAGCAUUUUGCACUGCAGUGAAUUACAGGACUCCAGGAGCAUCCACUUUGCAGCAGGAACCUUGUCUUCUGCCAGGCUGUCACAAAGUAUGUGUGCAAGACACAGGUCCGGUUUGGACACCCGGAAGGGCCCCGAGGCUGGGGAGGGAAAUCUGCUGCUCCCGGCCUUCAGACACUCUGCCUAAAACAGACUUUGCUUUGAAGAUAAACUUCCAGGUUGUUCUGUGUCAGGCAGUCACGGACCUCCAGGCUCCUGUGUCCAGGGCUGGGCUGCCGUGACUGGGACACUUCCUGGAGGACCGGCGGGGCGGUUCUGGGUGUGGGUCUGGGGGGUGGCCCUCCACUCCCAGCUCCACCUGUGCUUUCCUCGCCCAGCCGGGUCACCUCACUGUUUCUGCCUUGUGAGCCCAGGAGGCCGGCCGCGCCCGGUGUCCUGUCUGAGGACCAGGCCCAGCUCCACAGGGAAGCUGAGCAGAAGCAGAGGGCCCAGUGCCCGACCCUGCGUGCUGUGGGCUAACAGGGCCCUCACCCGUCCUGAGACCUGAGGUUUGGUGCAGCGCUCACUCCUGCCGGAAAGACAGAGCCACUGUGACGGUCCCAUGCACAGCAGUUUCCUGGCCCUGAAAGUCCUGCAGGUACUGCCUGCUCUAUCCCACCCCACCCCCAGCAAUUACCGCUCUCUGUCUCCGCAGUUUCGCCUUUUCCAGAAUGUGCAGAACCAGAACCCUCAGUAUGCAGCCUUCACUUAGUAACAUGCAUUCCAAGGUCCUCACUGACUUUCCAGGAUUUGGUAACUCCGUUUUUAGCAGCGAGUAAUAUUCCCUUGUCUAAAUGAAGCACUGUGCUUUUUUAAUCCCAUAUCUAUUCAAGGUAACUUUCAAGUGUUGCCAGCUAUAAAUAAAUAAAGAUCCUACAGAGAGCAGUAUGUGAGGUUUGGUGUGGAUGAAGAUACUUGUGAAGGCUCAGCUCUGCAGGCUCACCCACGCCUAUGCAUUCGCACUGGCACACUCACGGCAGGGCGUGGGUACGCGUGCCCAGCACACCUCAGCUCUGGACAUCUUAUGGUUUUGACUCAGAAACAGCCCCGCUCUGUCACGUGAACGUCUAACUUGCAUGUUUCGGAAUAAGUGCGAGACUGCCGUUCUCGAGGUUAACGAGUCCAGGCUUCUCUGGGGCACACAGAGAUGAAAGAGCAGACAGGGUGCGAGCAGCCCCACAGCAAGCCUAGGCCGUGCAGGAGACAGGGGACCAGGCGGGCCCGGCGGCGCAUACGGUCCUCAGGAGGAGCAGCUGGGUGAGGACUGUGAAUCUUCCGGGUUUGCUCUGUGCUGUUACAAAGAGCACAGCUCCUUUGUGCAGUGCUGGUGGCUUCUCUCCGUGAAAGGCUGCUCUGUGGGUCAGCUUCAUCGCCACCUAGCUAACCACACCAGAACUCGCGGCCUUCCACCAAGAGCUGCCCCUGAGCAUGCUGCUUGCUCACUGCCGCCAGGCCGAGUGAGGCUCUGGUCUUUCUGCCUCACUGGGCCUCCUUCCUAUUGCAGGCAGCUGCAGUUUGGCUCCGCUGACCCUCACAGCCCUCUCUGCGCAUGUUGGGGCAAUGGAUGGACUCAGACUGUCCCCCGGCCACGGUCCUCUAGAAAGUAGCCUGGGGCUCUCCACAUGGAGACGGGAGGCCUGGGAGCUGGGGCCAGGCUUCCCCACCAGCUGGGGUCACUGAGUUUGCCAGGUACCGUUUACCUAAUACAUGCCAAAGUACUGAAAUUUGAAGUAGCAGCUACUCAGCCAGGUGCUGUAAGAACCAAAAAAGACCCUUUCGCCCCUGAAAACGUAUACCUGCUCAUAUGUGUCAUGAUCCAUUCAGCAGAGCUCUGGCAUCUUCUCGCCCACCUCGUGUACACAUCACGAUUAGCUGCCUGCCUCUUAGAGUGAUGCCGGAUGGGGCCUUGUAGUGUUUUGUUACACAUACUUCAUUUUGUAAUGCAGUAAAGUUAAGUCGGAGUUACUUUCCCAACUAAAACUGGAUGUUGCAGCUAAGCAUUUCAGUCUCUAAAGCAAUGUGCCAAAUCUGCAUAGAAACUCAAAAGAAAAUCAAUUUGUUAAUUUGAAAAAUAAAGGCUUAACAUAUUAUUGUGAA